UACCGAACUUUGGCCACAUGAUGGCAGCACCAGUCCUCUCUCGGCGCCGCACCUCCGCUUUCCCGACCCGGUUUGCCGCUGAUUGCCGCCCGAAGGACACACGAUCCAGCUUUUGUUGCAGUACUUGAAGAAUGACCCCAGGAAAGCUGUGAAGAGACUUGCAAUCCAAGAUUUAAAGUUGCUGGCCAACAAGACACCACAUACGUGGAGCAGAGAAAACAUUCAGGCACUCUGUGAAUCUGCUCUU